UACGUAGGGUGCGAGCGUUAAUCGGAAUUACUGGGCGUAAAGCGUGCGUAGGCGGUUCUACAAGCUUGAUGUGAAAGCCCCGGGCUUAACCUGGGAAUGGCAUUGAGGACUGUGGGGCUGGAGUGCGGCAGAGGGAGGUGGAAUUCCACGUGUAGCAGUGAAAUGCGUAGAGAUGUGGAGGAACACCGAUGGCGAAGGCAGCCUCCUGGGCCGACACUGACGCUGAUGCACGAAAGCGUGGGGAGCAAACAGG
rnacentral:rRNA from 1 species